rnacentral:rRNA from 1 species
GACGAACGCUGGCGGCGUGCUUAACACAUGCAAGUCGAACGAAGAGCGAUGGAAGCUUGCUUCUAUCAAUCUUAGUGGCGAACGGGUGAGUAACGCGUAAUCAACCUGCCCUUCAGAGGGGGACAACAGUUGGAAACGACUGCUAAUACCGCAUACGAUCUAAUCUCGGCAUCGAGGAUAGAUGAAAGGUGGCCUCUACAUGUAAGCUAUCACUGAAGGAGGGGAUUGCGUCUGAUUAGCUAGUUGGUGGGGUAACGGCCCACCAAGGCGAUGAUCAGUAGCCGGUCUGAGAGGAUGAACGGCCACAUUGGGACUGAGACACGGCCCAGACUCCUACGGGAGGCAGCAGUGGGGAAUCUUCCGCAAUGGACGGAAGUCUGACGGAGCAACGCCGCGUGAGUGAUGACGGCCUUCGGGUUGUAAAGCUCUGUUAAUCGGGAAGAAAGGCCUUCUUGCGAACAGUUAGAAGGAUUGACGGUACCGGAAUAGAAAGCCACGGCUAACUACGUG